rnacentral:lncRNA from 1 species
GUAGAUCAGUAUUUCUUGUUUGUUAUUUGGUUUUCUGAUUCCACACUUUUUCAAUAUCAUUAGCAUCUCUUUUCGUUUAAAGGUUUGUGAAAACUCCUCUCAAAUUUAGAGACAAAGAUACUAGCACAUGGAAGAAGAUAGCAAAUGUUGUUUGUGCUGAUGCUCUAAUUUCCAGUUGUACAUAUCUUCAUAGAGGUUUAAAAUUUCUUGAUUUCAAAUGUAGGGUAAUUGAAAGCAAUGCUCAUGGUAAUUGAAUUAUAAGCAGUAUUUUGUGUGAUUUUUCAAGUUGGAGUUGAGACAUUAAUUUGAUACCGGUCUUGAUAC